rnacentral:rRNA from 1 species
UGGGGAAUUUUGGACAAUGGGCGAAAGCCUGAUCCAGCAAUGCCGCGUGUGUGAAGAAGGCCUUCGGGUUGUAAAGCACUUUUGUCCGGAAAGAAAUCCUUGGCUCUAAUACAGUCGGGGGAUGACGGUACCGGAAGAAUAAGCACCGGCUAACUACGUGCCAGCAGCCGCGGUAAUACGUAGGGUGCAAGCGUUAAUCGGAAUUACUGGGCGUAAAGCGUGCGCAGGCGGUUUGCUAAGACCGAUGUGAAAUCCCCGGGCUCAACCUGGGAACUGCAUUGGUGACUGGCAGGCUAGAGUAUGGCAGAGGGGGGUAGAAUUCCACGUGUAGCAGUGAAAUGCGUAGAGAUGUGGAGGAAUACCGAUGGCGAAGGCAGCCCCCUGGGCCAAUACUGACGCUCAUGCACGAAAAGCGUGGGGAGCAAAACAGGAUUAGAUACCCUGGUAGUCCACGCCCUAAAACGAUGUCAACUAGUUGUUGGGGAUUCAUUUCCUUAGUAACGUAGCUAACGCGUGAAGUUGACCGCCCGGGGAGU